rnacentral:lncRNA from 1 species
AACGGCCGCUCGUGCGGCCGUGGGGUGGCCGCGGAAUGACCGCGGGGCUGCCGCGUAACGCCCGCGGCGCCCCGCCCUCGCUGCGCCCGAAGAAGCCGGAGGGGAUCGCGUCUGCGAUCCCCUGCUCUGGCCCCUUCCAAAAAAAAGGAAAACGAGGCUGAAGUCGGCUGGGGCUGCCGACUUCAGCCCGUAUCUCACAUUCUCUCCCCCUUAAAAAAAUUUCGUCCUCGAAAUUUAAGAGAUCUAGGCCUUUCAGAUGCUUAGCCCAUUGAGUAAUAUAAAUCCAAGAUCUCAUUCUCCUCGAUCAAAAUCAGUGUGAUAGAUAGCUUUGGAUUAACUAUCAAAAAUUCCAUAAAACUCGCAAGAUUAACACUAGAUAAGAGACUGACUAAAAUCUCAUAUUGAAAUUAUCAUCUUGAUGCAUGUUCACUCGAGAUUGGAUCAGGAUCGAUUCACAACAGGAUUGAUUAAAAUUAGUUGUGUUUGGGAUAGAACUUGAAAUGAAAUAGAUCUCAUACACUUACCAUGGUAGUGUGCUGAACCCUCAAAGGAUAAUGACCAACCUUGGAGUCAAAUCAUUAAAUGGCUAGAAAUGUAAUUCACAAAAUGAACAUGUACUGACGAUCAUUAGAUAGCAACGGUCUAUCUCAAAAAUGAUUUGCAUCAAAUCACAAGAGCAGGUCUAGGAAGGCAAAGUAUUGAUACCAUGAUUCAAUAUGCCACAAAGCUUUUAACUUAAACUUAUAAAUUAUAAGAUGGGAGCAAAUAAUGCAUGGUUUAUUCAGAUACUUAACAAAUUAGACCAUAUUUAGUCAACAAUCAACUAACCCGAGUCAUGAUACGCUCAAAUUAUUAUUAUUAUUAUUAUUUUCUUAGCAAACCUAAAAAUAGCAAAUUCUACCCAACAGAUAACAUAAUCAUAUCAUGAUUGACCUGAGAAUCAAUAGUAUAUACCUUUCCUUAUUAACAAAAUCUUUCAUUAUUGAACAACAUAGUCUUUCAUAAUAACAUGUUACCAAAACACAGUCAAUAUUUUUGACCAGUUUAAAUUGACUCAGUCCAUCAUACUUUCGCUGCGCAACUCUGAUCAAUAUUCUCCAAAAUUUCUUAAUGAUCCCAGAUCAUCAACAUUUUUUUAUAAUAUCCAAGCAAAAUUUUAUCCUUGCUUUUCAGGUAUACUAAGUCAUGAUUAACCCUUGAGAUAGUUGUCGUAUUUGUACCAUCAUAUAAUCAAGUAAUCAUAUUCUAGAUCCAAAUUUGAACUAAGCCAAUUCUAGUUUUCCUUGACAAUUCCAUUAUACAAGUU